UUAAGCGACUAAGCGUACACGGUGGAUGCCCUGGCAGUCAGAGGCGAUGAAGGACGUGCUAAUCUGCGAUAAGCGUCGGUGAGGUGAUAUGAACCGUUAUAACCGGCGAUUUCCGAAUGGGGAAACCCAGUGUGUUUCGACACACUAUCAUUAACUGAAUCCAUAGGUUAAUGAGGCGAACCGGGGGAACUGAAACAUCUAAGUACCCCGAGGAAAAGAAAUCAACCGAGAUUCCCCCAGUAGCGGCGAGCGAACGGGGAGGAGCCCAGAGCCUGAAUCAGUGUGUGUGUUAGUGGAAGCGUCUGGAAAGGCGUGCGAUACAGGGUGACAGCCCCGUACACAAAAAUGCACAUAUUGUGAGCUCGAUGAGUAGGGCGGGACACGUGGUAUCCUGUCUGAAUAUGGGGGGACCAUCCUCCAAGGCUAAAUACUCCUGACUGACCGAUAGUGAACCAGUACCGUGAGGGAAAGGCGAAAAGAACCCCGGCGAGGGGAGUGAAAAAGAACCUGAAACCGUGUACGUACAAGCAGUGGGAGCCUCUUAAUGGGGUGACUGCGUACCUUUUGUAUAAUGGGUCAGCGACUUAUAUUCUGUAGCAAGGUUAACCGAAUAGGGGAGCCGAAGGGAAACCGAGUCUUAACUGGGCGUUAAGUUGCAGGGUAUAGACCCGAAACCCGGUGAUCUAGCCAUGGGCAGGUUGAAGGUUGGGUAACACUAACUGGAGGACCGAACCGACUAAUGUUGAAAAAUUAGCGGAUGACUUGUGGCUGGGGGUGAAAGGCCAAUCAAACCGGGAGAUAGCUGGUUCUCCCCGAAAGCUAUUUAGGUAGCGCCUCGUGAAUUCAUCUCCGGGGGUAGAGCACUGUUUCGGCAAGGGGGUCAUCCCGACUUACCAACCCGAUGCAAACUGCGAAUACCGGAGAAUGUUAUCACGGGAGACACACGGCGGGUGCUAACAUCCGUCGUGAAGAGGGAAACAACCCAGACCGCCAGCUAAGGUCCCAAAGUCAUGGUUAAGUGGGAAACGAUGUGGGAAGGCCCAGACAGCCAGGAUGUUGGCUUAGAAGCAGCCAUCAUUUAAAGAAAGCGUAAUAGCUCACUGGUCGAGUCGGCCUGCGCGGAAGAUGUAACGGGGCUAAACCAUGCACCGAAGCUGCGGCAGCGACACUAUGUGUUGUUGGGUAGGGGAGCGUUCUGUAAGCCUGUGAAGGUGGCCUGUGAGGGUUGCUGGAGGUAUCAGAAGUGCGAAUGCUGACAUAAGUAACGAUAAAGCGGGUGAAAAGCCCGCUCGCCGGAAGACCAAGGGUUCCUGUCCAACGUUAAUCGGGGCAGGGUGAGUCGACCCCUAAGGCGAGGCCGAAAGGCGUAGUCGAUGGGAAACAGGUUAAUAUUCCUGUACUUGGUGUUACUGCGAAGGGGGGACGGAGAAGGCUAUGUUGGCCGGGCGACGGUUGUCCCGGUUUAAGCGUGUAGGCUGGUUUUCCAGGCAAAUCCGGAAAACCAAGGCUGAGGCGUGAUGACGAGGCACUACGGUGCUGAAGUGACAAAUGCCCUGCUUCCAGGAAAAGCCUCUAAGCAUCAGGUAACAUCAAAUCGUACCCCAAACCGACACAGGUGGUCAGGUAGAGAAUACCAAGGCGCUUGAGAGAACUCGGGUGAAGGAACUAGGCAAAAUGGUGCCGUAACUUCGGGAGAAGGCACGCUGAUAUGUAGGUGAAGCGACUUGCUCGUGGAGCUGAAAUCAGUCGAAGAUACCAGCUGGCUGCAACUGUUUAUUAAAAACACAGCACUGUGCAAACACGAAAGUGGACGUAUACGGUGUGACGCCUGCCCGGUGCCGGAAGGUUAAUUGAUGGGGUUAGCGGUAACGCGAAGCUCUUGAUCGAAGCCCCGGUAAACGGCGGCCGUAACUAUAACGGUCCUAAGGUAGCGAAAUUCCUUGUCGGGUAAGUUCCGACCUGCACGAAUGGCGUAAUGAUGGCCAGGCUGUCUCCACCCGAGACUCAGUGAAAUUGAACUCGCUGUGAAGAUGCAGUGUACCCGCGGCAAGACGGAAAGACCCCGUGAACCUUUACUAUAGCUUGACACUGAACAUUGAGCCUUGAUGUGUAGGAUAGGUGGGAGGCUUUGAAGUGUGGACGCCAGUCUGCAUGGAGCCGACCUUGAAAUACCACCCUUUAAUGUUUGAUGUUCUAACGUUGGCCCGUAAUCCGGGUUGCGGACAGUGUCUGGUGGGUAGUUUGACUGGGGCGGUCUCCUCCUAAAGAGUAACGGAGGAGCACGAAGGUUGGCUAAUCCUGGUCGGACAUCAGGAGGUUAGUGCAAUGGCAUAAGCCAGCUUGACUGCGAGCGUGACGGCGCGAGCAGGUGCGAAAGCAGGUCAUAGUGAUCCGGUGGUUCUGAAUGGAAGGGCCAUCGCUCAACGGAUAAAAGGUACUCCGGGGAUAACAGGCUGAUACCGCCCAAGAGUUCAUAUCGACGGCGGUGUUUGGCACCUCGAUGUCGGCUCAUCACAUCCUGGGGCUGAAGUAGGUCCCAAGGGUAUGGCUGUUCGCCAUUUAAAGUGGUACGCGAGCUGGGUUUAGAACGUCGUGAGACAGUUCGGUCCCUAUCUGCCGUGGGCGCUGGAGAACUGAGGGGGGCUGCUCCUAGUACGAGAGGACCGGAGUGGACGCAUCACUGGUGUUCGGGUUGUCAUGCCAAUGGCACUGCCCGGUAGCUAAAUGCGGAAGAGAUAAGUGCUGAAAGCAUCUAAGCACGAAACUUGCCCCGAGAUGAGUUCUCCCUGACUCCUUGAGAGUCCUGAAGGAACGUUGAAGACGACGACGUUGAUAGGCCGGGUGUGUAAGCGCAGCGAUGCGUUGAGCUAACCGGUACUAAUGAACCGUGAGGCUUAACCUU
rnacentral:rRNA from 1 species